ACAGAGAUUCAGAACUGAAUUCAUGGAAGAAGAUAAAUUCAUGGUCAUGAACUUUUUCUAUAAUGGAAGAUUCAGAUGCAUAGGUGGAAUAUACAGACUUUUCUAGAAACUGAAAGAGAAUUCUCCUGUAAAAAAACGAAUGAGAAAGCACAAAUUUGAAGCUCUGGCUCUUUUUCUCUAUUUUUAAUAGAGUCCUGGUGUGAGCAAAGGAAAUCUUAUGGAAAUGUAUGUUGCGUUUGAUUCUUCUCUGUAUCCUCACCAUUAUUCUAUUGUUUGGCCGGAGGCUUAAGAGGAGUUUUCAAAAUUCAGAGUUGGGGACAAGCUAUCAACAGGGCUCCCGAAGCUGGACUCCAAACAACAAGCAGAGAAAGCACCAUCUUAUUAACUUACUGUAGUCUCUAGAAGUCUACAGUGAUACCCUUGGAUCUCACAUGCACACGUUCCUUACGCAGUGACUCACCCAGAGCAACUUCUACUCAAGGGAGCUGGCAAAACCUUGUAAGAAGAUGGUUUCAGCAAUUCCUAUACAAACUUACUACUGAGAAUAUGGCCAUGACAGAAAUGGUGAGGACUGUAAAGGUUC